AACGAACGCUGGCGGCAGGCUUAACACAUGCAAGUCGAGCGCCCCGCAAGGGGAGCGGCAGACGGGUGAGUAACGCGUGGGAAUCUACCCAUCUCUACGGAAUAACGCAUGGAAACGUGUGCUAAUACCGUAUACGUCCUUCGGGAGAAAGAUUUAUCGGAGAUGGAUGAGCCCGCGUUGGAUUAGCUAGUUGGUGGGGUAAAGGCCUACCAAGGCGACGAUCCAUAGCUGGUCUGAGAGGAUGAUCAGCCACACUGGGACUGAGACACGGCCCAGACUCCUACGGGAGGCAGCAGUGGGGAAUAUUGGACAAUGGCGCAAGCCUGAUCCAGCCAUGCCGCGUGAGUGAUGAAGGCUCUAGGGUUGUAAAGCUCUUUCACCGGUGAAGAUAAUGACGGUAACCGGAGAAGAAGCCCCGGCUAACUUCGCGCCAGCCGCCGCAGUAACAC
rnacentral:rRNA from 1 species